AACCUCCUAGGAUUACGUCUGGAGAGUGGCUAGUGUUUUACCAGCUUUGAAAACAGGAGGGAAAGGAAGCCUGGCAGAAGGACCAUUCCAUCCCAGCUUGAUCAGUAGCUGGAGACCAGAAGACACUCUGCAACAAGU
ensembl:snoRNA